GACGAACGCUGGCGGCGUGCCUAAUACAUGCAAGUCGAGCGAAGUUUUUCUGGUGCUUGCACUAGAAAAACUUAGCGGCGAACGGGUGAGUAACACGUAAAGAACCUGCCUCGUAGACUGGGACAACUAUUGGAAACGAUAGCUAAUACCGGAUAACAGUAUUUCUCGCAUGAGAGAUAUUUAAAAGUUGGUUAUGCUAACACUAUGAGAUGGCUUUGCGGUGCAUUAGCUAGUUGGUGGGGUAAAGGCCUACCAAGGCGACGAUGCAUAGCCGACCUGAGAGGGUGAUCGGCCACACUGGGACUGAGACACGGCCCAGACUCCUACGGGAGGCAGCAGUAGGGAAUCUUCCGCAAUGGGCGAAAGCCUGACGGAGCAACGCCGCGUGAGUGAAGAAGGAUUUCGGUUCGUAAAGCUCUGUUGUUAGGGAAGAAUGGAUAUGUAGUAACUAUACAUGUAAGAGACGGUACCUAACCAGAAAGCCACGGCUAACUACGUGCCAGCAGCCGUGGUAAUACGUAGGUCCCGAGCGUUGUCCGGAUUUAUUGGGCGUAAAGCGAGCGCAGGCGGUUAGAUAAGUCUGAAGUUAAAGGCUGUGGCUUAACCAUAGUACGCUUUGGAAACUGUUUAACUUGAGUGCAAGAGGGGAGAGUGGAAUUCCAUGUGUAGCGGUGAAAUGCGUAGAUAUAUGGAGGAACACCGGUGGCGAAAGCGGCUCUCUGGCUUGUAACUGACGCUGAGGCUCGAAAGCGUGGGGAGCAAACAGG
rnacentral:rRNA from 1 species